UACCAUCAACCAUCACCGUCACGUCACUGCAAAGAUUAGAUCUUUCCGGAAGAAGAGAAGAAUGAGGCCGAUGCAGCUUGACAUGUUAUCGGAGAUGGAUGAUGCAGGUUCUUCAAUGGCCAUGGACGUUGAUGAUCUCGAAGCUAUGGAGAUUUUUAGCGAAGGAGGAGGUGCUUCAGAGAGUAAGCUCGCCGACGCUGAUUUCUUCAACAAAUUCGAGGAUGAUUUCGACGAUGCCGAUAUCAACUGAUUCCGGUUAAAAUUUCUUCUCUAUGAUUUCAAUUUUCUUCGGAAAUCGAUUAAAAGCAGUGUAUAAUUCCCCUGUCCAAGCUCUGUUGUUGCUUUGUGUCAUGUCCAAGCUCCCCUGUCCAAGCUCUGUCCCCGGUCUUUUGUAGAUGGAAAUAGUGUGAUCGUUGUUCACCUAUCGUAGAAGUGAAAAGGCGGCUAAGCAUAAAGAUGUCAGUCUCGAGCAGUUGUUUGUUGCUAACGUUGCGAUCUUAUGUAUGUGAUGUAGCCAAAGUUCACGAGGUUCUUAAGUAAUCGUAGUAUAUCGGAACACUCAAGUUUUUUGUAUCUUCUUAGUGUGCAUAACAAGAUGAGUGGUGUGGUUGACACAAAUGAGCGUGACCUCUCUUAAGAAGAUUUACGAUUGAUC